CAGCCUUCAACAAGCAGCCUUUAAUUGUUUCCAAACCUGCACAAGUUACCUGUGAGAGCUGAACUAAAACCACCUAUCUUCAAUCUUGGAUCCCAUUUUUGUUGUGAAUCCAGUUGCUAUAUCAACAUGUUUUGACUGGGGAAUCAGUUGAGGAAACAGUUUCCUUCAAAAACAGGAUGACUAGCAGGCCCUAAAUAGCAGCCCUGUGCAACAAGUUGCUGAUUUCCUCCUCAUCCCAUCCAUCGUCGUCGUCAUCAUUAUCACAAACACAAACUCUGGCAAAAGAAAUGCAAGGUGACAAUAAGGGAGGCAAAAAGAGAGUUUGAGCAACAUUUAGCUAAAAGCAUCAAGGGGAAUAACAAAAACUUCUUUAAAUACAUCAGAUGCAGGAAACCUGCCAGAGAGAUGGUUGGACCUUUGGAUAAUGAGGGAGUGGAAGAGAUUAUUAAGGAGGAUAUGGAGGUUGCAGAGAAGCUAAAUGAGUUCUUUGUGUCUGUCUUCACGGCAGAGGAUACUGAGCAUAUACUUGUUUCUGAAACAGGCUUUUCAGGGAUGGAGGCUAAAGAACUGAGUCAGAUAGCAGUGACAAGAGAUGAUGUUCAAAACUGUCUGGAAAAACUGAAAACUAACAAAUCGUCAGGGCCGGAUGGCAUCCAUCCAAGAGUCCUCAAAGAACUCAAAUGGGAAAUUGCUGACCUCCUUGAUAAAAUAUAUAACUUAUCCAUGCAAUCAGGCUCUGUACCGCAGGAGUGGAAAGUAGCUAAUAUAACACCAAUUUUUAAAAACGGAUCCAGGGGUGAUCUGGGGAAUUACAGGCCGGUUUAACGUCCAUUCCAGGCAAAUUGAUGAAAAGAAUCCUCAAGGAUAAAAUUGUAAAGUACACAGAAGAACAGGCCCUGCUGGGAGUGAACCAGCAUGGCUUCUGCAAAGGUAAAUCUUUCCUCAACAACCUUUUGGAAUUCUUUGAGAGUGUCAACAAGUGUGUGGAUCAAGGUGAUCCAGUUGACAUAGUAUACCUGGACCUCCAAUAAGCUUUUGACAAAGUUCUUCAUCAAAGACUCCUGAGAAAAUGGAGCAGUCAUGGGAUAAGGGGACACGUACAUGUGUGGGUUGCUAACUGGUUGAAGGACAGGAAACAGAGGGUAGGUAUAAAUGGAGAGUUUUCACAAUGGAGGGAAGUAAGCAGUGGGGUCCCUCAGGGAUCUGUACUGGGGCCAGUGCUUUUUAAUUUAUUCAUAAAUGAUCUAUAAUCAGAGGUAAGCAGCCAGGUGGCCCAAUUUGCAGAUGAUACCUGACUCUUUUGGGUAUUAAAAUCCAAAAUGGAUUGUGAGGAGCUCCAAAAGGAUCUCUCCAAACAAGGGGAGUGGGCAACAAAAUGGCAAAUGCAGUUCAGUGUUGGGAAGUGUAAAGUGAUGCACAUUGGGACGAAAACCCCCAACUUCAAGUAUACAUUGAUGGGAUCUGAGCUGUUAGUGACUGACUGGGAAAGGGAUCUUGGGGUUGUGGUGGACAGCUUGUUGAACGUGUCGACUCAAUGUGCGGCAGCUGUGAAAAAGGCCAAUUCCAUGCUAGGGAUCUUUAGAAAGAGGACUGAUAAGAAAACUGCUAAUAUUAUAAUGCCUGUAUACAAAACUGUGGUGCGGUCACACCUGGAGUACUGUGUGCAAUUCUGGUCACACAUCUAAAAACAGACAUUGUAGAACUGGAAAAGGUACAGAAGAAGGCAACCAAGAUGAUCAGGGGCCUAGAGCCCCUUUCUUAGGAGGCAAGGCUACAACACCUGGGGCUAUUUAGUUUAGAAAAAAGACAACUGCAGGGAGACAUGAUAGAGGUCUAUAAAAUCAUGCAUGGUGUGGAGAAAGUGGAUAGAGAGAGAAAUUCUUCUCCCUCUCCCAUAACACUAGAACCAGGGGUCAUUCCAUGAAAUUGAUUGCUGGGAAAUUUAGGACCAGCAAACAGAAGUAUUUUUUCACACAAUGCAUAAUCAACUUGUGGAAUUCUCUGCCACAAGAUGUGGUGACAACCAACAACCUGGAUGGCUUUAAGAGGGGCUUGCAUAACUUUAUGGUGGAGAGGUCUAUCAAUGGCUAAUAGUCGGAGGGCUAUAGGCUACCUCCAGCCUCAAAGGCAGGAUUCCUCUGAGUACCAGUUGCAGGGGACUAACAGUAGGAGAGAGAGCAUGCCCUCAACUCCUGCUUGUGGCUUCCAGCGGCAUCUGGUGGGCCACGGUGCGAAACAGGAUGCUGGAUUAGAUGGGCCUUGGGCCUGGUCCAGCAGGCUUGUUCUUAUGUUCUGAUCAGCUGUACUCUGCCCAAAGCAGUUUGAUUGGACAAAUGAGACAUAGAGGCACAAUGACUUGUCCAAAGCCCCCUAUCAAUCCAUGGCUAAGAUUACUGAUUUCCCCCCUGGUUAUACUCCUGUCUUUUAACAGCAGCAUAAGACUCCACAGGUGAGUGCAGUUUUUCCAGCAUGGAGAGUCAGUAAUGGGUGAGCUUCGCCUGCUGCCUUUCUGCUAGGCAUUUAGCUGUCAAAGGCACAAGAAUCAUGCCAGAAAGAAGUGGUGCAUCUCUGAACUAUGCAGUGCAGCCAGAUCUCCCAAGUGCCAUUCAGGUAGAUAGCUUGUUUCACAAUAUUGGCUUUUGUGCCUCACUGGUGUGUAUGUGCAUGUAUGCUGUGUAGUUGGUGGGGGUAGAAUAAAGAUGAGACACAGUAAUUAUUACUUUCAUUUGUGCCUCAAAGCUGUUUCCAACUGAAAUUCAAACCUAAUAAAAUUCUGCUGAGAACGGAGAACAUCUUUGGAUUAAUGGAUUUCUGACAUUUCAUUUCCCCCAUCUGAUAUAGAAUUGCCACAGACCUAAAUGUCUUUUCCUCUCUCUCUCGCUCUCUCGUUGAGGACUCAUUGUUUAUGAAUGCCUGAGUUCCUAAAUGUCAGCAUUUCCGUUGCAAUCUCCAAGAUGCUGACUCUCACCUCUGCCUGUGGAAUCAAUUUUGCCUUAUCAGACGCCUUAUCUCAUAUAUGGACUCUGUGACCGAGAUACAUUAGAUCAGGCCAAUAGUACUUCAUCUGCAUCAACAAUUGCUAAUCUCUCAGGGGAUCUCUGAAGGAGUCAUGCCUGCAACAUAGUCAUAGUAGGGGAGUGUGUGCAUGUGUGUAUUCAGCUAUUUGUGUUUCAAUAGCUUCUCUCAGAGCUGGUGGAUAAUCUAAAAAGCACCACAGGAAACAAAAGUUCUAAGAUGACCUGAUCAAAGAUACAACUUAAACUUUACAUUUGGUUGCCUAGUGGGAAAACACUGUCAUUAGUUUCUGGCUAUGUCAUUUCUGCCCACUGAUUAUUUAGAAAACUCUGUUAUCAAUCAAUUAUAGACAAGCAUACCGUGGUGUUCUUACGCUUGGACUUUGGGGCUGAAGUCCAGGGCCUCCACACCCCUUGGGGACCCCCAAAUCCUCUUUAGUCUGUACUGGGUGGUGUGGUUGCUGCUGGCCCGCACUGCGCUGGGUGGCAGAGUGUGAUUAUGAUCUCUGCUGGGUGCUUUAGAGACAGAAUGGGGAGUGGGGAAAGAAAUGUGUGGGAUGGAAUAUGUUAAGUUGCAUGUUGAAAUGUUUCUGCUUCUGCAUAUUUGCAUAAAUAUACCUGUUUUAUAUUUUUA